GGGCCGUUAGCUCAGUUGGUAGAGCACCGGACUUUUAAUCCGUUGGUCGAAGGUUCGAUUCCUUCACGGCCCACCA
rnacentral:tRNA from 1 species